rnacentral:rRNA from 1 species
CCUACGGGAGGCUGCAGUGGGGAAUAUUGCACAAUGGGGGAAACCCUGAUGCAGCGACGCCGCGUGAGUGAAGAAGGUUUUCGGAUUGUAAACCUCUAUCAUUAGGGAAGAAAAUGACGGUACCUAACGAAUAAGCACCGGCUAACUACGUGCCAGCAGCCGCGGUAAUACGUAGGGUGCAAGCGUUAUCCGGAAUUACUGGGGGUAAAGGGCGCGUAGGCGGGGCUGCAAGUCCGAAGUGAAAUCCCAUGGCUUAACCAUGGUACUGCAUUUGAAACUGUUGUUCUAGAGUGUGGGAGGGGCAGGCGGAAUUCUUAGUGUAGCGGUAAAAUGCGUAGAGAUUAGGAGGAACAC